UACGUAGGGUGCAAGCGUUAAUCGGAAUUACUGGGCGUAAAGCGUGCGCAGGCGGAUGCAUAAGUCAGACGUGAAAGCCCCGGGCUUAACCUGGGAACGGCGUUUGAAACUGUGCGUCUAGAGUGCGUCAGAGGGGGGUGGAAUUCCGCGUGUAGCAGUGAAGUGCGUAGAGAUGCGGAGGAACACCGAUGGCGAAGGCAGCCCCCUGGGAUGACACUGACGCUCAUGCACGAAAGCGUGGGGAGCAAACAGG
rnacentral:rRNA from 1 species